rnacentral:lncRNA from 13 species
GAGGCCCUCUGUACCAAAGGGGCUACGCAGGGCCAGCCAUCAAUUCUGUCUGUGGUCAUCACUCCCUCCCUGCCUUGGACUCCUCAGAAUCUCAGCUCCCCAACCUCAAGAUGACUCAAUCCUUCCCACUGUGCUGCCUUUGUGGAAAACAUCGGAGGGAUAGAAGAAAACAAUCACACAUGCACACACAAAAUAACAAACUGCUCGUCUUCCUAGUAUGGAUCCCAUCUCAUCAUACAUAGGGUGCCAUAGCAACAUAUUUACUUUGCUAUGCAGACGCCCCCUCCAUAUGUAUUAUACCUGAGGGGAUUUACAUUAUCUAGAGAGAGAGAGAGAGAGAGAGCUGACUUCUUAAUUGUGAUACUACUUCUGGUUGUCUUGUCUCUAUUCUCUUUCUUUUGGUUUCUGAAUCUUGUCUGUCUUACAGAUGUGAAGAGCUGGGACUUGGGAGCCGCAGUAGAAAACGCCUGAAGGUAGAAGAGCACCGAACAAGGAUUAUCUGGGUGGAAACCGCCGACCUGCGAGUUGGGGAUCUUCGUGUGUGAGGAUGUCAGUGUUUUCGCCUCGCUGACCGCAAUGUGCUUCUCUGGGUAGCCCCCGGGCAGCGUUCCUCCUCUCUGAAAUCGCCACCUCCUCUUCCCCUCCCCCUCCCCUAUCCUUCCUCCUCUCCCCCUAUCCCUCCCCCAUCUCAUUUAGUCCCACCAACCACCAGCUGCUCCAUGGAUCCCCUGUGUCCGAGUAAUGGUGUGAGCCGGACACAGCCCCGCACCUCCGGCCAACUGUAGCCCCCCACCCCAGCCCCCCUCGGCCCCAUUACUUUUUUAUUUUUUUGUACUGGCUUAUUUUUUCUCACAAUCCCUGGAGUUUAUUCUUGUUUGGAACCAGGGAUGGAUGUACCAUUGGAGGCCAGCAAGCAUGGCAAGAAGACGACCAGUCAAAAGCUGGAAGACCAGAAGAAGUUCUGUUUCUCUGGAGCAGCGCAUUGCUGUCUCGCCACACAGACAAGCUUCUGUUGUGUUUGGUUGUUCACGCCAGAGAUAUGUAUACAGAGAGAGGAAGACCUCUCUCCUCAGACACACCAUCUCCAGAGAGGCCAGCUUGAAGAGCCAGUUAUACUCCUCAGGUUCCAGAGGAAACACUCUGAUUGCUGAUGACCUGUCCUUCCCACCAUCCUGCUGACCAGAUGCAGCAGGAAACCGACCACAGAGCCCAAGUCACCAGGAAAUCAAAUAAAGUACUAACUGCACUAUUUGUUUGUCUUUGAUGUGCCUGUGACGAAUGCAGAAUAUGAGCUGAGCGGAAAAGGCUGAUUUUAGCUGUGAAUAAAAACACCUGUAUUGGG